UGCAGUCGACGGUGAGCCAGCUUGCUUGGUGGAUCAGUGGCGAACGGGUGAGUAACACGUGAGCAACCUGCCCUGGACUCUGGGAUAAGCGCUGGAAACGGCGUCUAAUACUGGAUAUGAGCCCCUAUCGCAUGGUGGGGGUUGGAAAGAUUUUUUGGUCUGGGAUGGGCUCGCGGCCUAUCAGCUUGUUGGUGAGGUAAUGGCUCACCAAGGCGUCGACGGGUAGCCGGCCUGAGAGGGUGACCGGCCACACUGGGACUGAGACACGGCCCAGACUCCUACGGGAGGCAGCAGUGGGGAAUAUUGCACAAUGGGCGAAAGCCUGAUGCAGCAACGCCGCGUGAGGGAUGACGGCCUUCGGGUUGUAAACCUCUUUUAGCAGGGAAGAAGCGAAAGUGACGGUACCUGCAGAAAAAGCGCCGGCUAACUACGUGCCAGCAGCCGCGGUAAUACGUAGGGCGCAAGCGUUAUCCGGAAUUAUUGGGCGUAAAGAGCUCGUAGGCGGUUUGUCGCGUCUGCUGUGAAAUCCCGAGGCUCAACCUCGGGCCUGCAGUGGGUACGGGCAGACUAGAGUGCGGUAGGGGAGAUUGGAAUUCCUGGUGUAGCGGUGGAAUGCGCAGAUAUCAGGAGGAACACCGAUGGCGAAGGCAGAUCUCUGGGCCGUAACUGACGCUG
rnacentral:rRNA from 1 species